AGUCACUGACAUUAGAUACCCCGUGUAGUCCCAGGGUGUAAAACGCUGCAGACUUGGUGUUGGGAACCCUUCGGGGGUGCUCAGUGCCGGAGAGAAGUUGUUAAGUCUGCUACUUGGGGGAGUACGUCCGCAAGGAUAGAAACUUAAAGGAAGUUGGCGGGGGAGCACCGCAACGGGAGGAGCGUGCGGUUUAAUUGGAUUACAACGCCGAAAAACUCACCAGCAGCGACUGUUACAUGAAAGUCAGGUUGAUGACCUUACUAGAUUUUCAG
rnacentral:rRNA from 1 species